GCCGAAGUGGUGGAAUUGGUAGACACGCUACCUUGAGGGGGUAGUGGUCUUUAUGAUCGUGUCGGUUCGAGUCCGACCUUCGGCA
rnacentral:tRNA from 1 species